rnacentral:sRNA from 1 species
UAUUCUGCCCCAUGGGGAAGGAUGAGAAGCUUCGACUAAGGUUCGACUCGAGCGAAGCGAGAGAACGUUGCCGCAGGCAACGGCCCGAAGGGCGAGGCGCUUUAGCGC